rnacentral:snRNA from 1 species
GAAAAUGAAGAACCAAACCACGAUGAUCCAGGGAUUUCCCUUUUCCCCUCCUUCUCUUCCCUCUCUUUCUCUCUCCUCCCUCCCUCUCUCCUCACUCUUCUCUGCCCUCUCCCCUUUCUCCUUUACUACUCCAUGUACGUCUCUCCCAAGGCUGCAUGCUUCAAGAGGACGACCACCCCCAAAAGAGGACAGUCUCCUCGGUCAAGCGUAUGAGUAGCUGCGCUCCCUUGCUAGCACCUACAAGCUCUCAAGAAUACUAAGUUUGUGGUCGGAGAGCUCAAGGCGAAGAAAAAUCUUAUGUCCAAGAGAUUUAUUAGAGAAUAACUU